rnacentral:lncRNA from 1 species
UUAGUGACAAAUCAAACCCAAAUUCAAAUUUAGUCAACUUCUCCAAAUUCAAUCAAACCCAAAUUCAAAUUAAUUAUCUUUUCCAAUACAGUAAUGAAAAGCUUCAACCAACAAAGUAAUGCUUUCAAUUCACUAAUCAAUCCACUCUUGCACCAUCACCAGACCCUCCAAUUCCACCUUUUUUUUCAACAAAACUCAAUCUGAUACCCUCUUCUCCCUUUCCACUAACUUAAAUGACACCAGAAGAUUAAAUGGGUUUACACUUGUUUAGAGAUUAAUAAAUAUGAGUUAAGUGGUAACAUGCUUCACUGUUUGUGUUCUAAUGAAG